AUCACAGUGGCUGCCACAGCUUUUACUUUUCCAGCAUUUCUUUCUUAUUCAAGUCCUGAAUUUCCGGCCAUGGAUACCAUCCAAGAAGUCACAAGGAGCACACACCCGGAGAGCCGGCUGCAGGGUGGAAACAAGAAAACUGCGGGCAGCUAAGACGGGGCCAGAAGGUCACGAGGGAGUUCUGUUUUCCUCCACGGCUAGAGUGCAGUGGCAGGAUCACAGCUCACUGUAAGCUCGACCUCCAGGCCUCAAGUUAUCCUCCCACCUUCAGCCUCUCUAGUAGCUGGGACUACAGGUGUCUACCACCAUGCUUGGCUAACUUUUUAAUGUUUUGUAGAGAUGGGGUCUCACUAUAUUGCCCAAGCUGGUCUUGAACUCUUGGGCUCAAGUGAUCCUCCUGCCUUGGCCUCCAAAACUGCUGGGACUAUAGGCAUGAGCCACCGCACUGUCCUCUCACUGCUAUUAUCAUCAUCACCUGCUACUCUACGAAGAUGCUGUGUUCUUGUUUCUUUGGACCUCCCAUAGCAUUUUGUAUUAUAUAGAUCUUUUCACAUUUUAACUUUUUGUUGUGACCUUGACACCUUAUUCAUCUUUUAAGCUAAGCACCUGAA
rnacentral:lncRNA from 10 species